CCCAGGUAGUACCAAUGCUCAGCGGAAAAGAAGGAAUAUGAGGAGAUCCAUACCGUUGUAUUUUUGCUAUAACUGUGGUUUGUUCCUCUGUCACCGGAGCGAAAGCUUCAGCCCCCGCCUGAAAACGGCAAUGCAGAAAGACAAGUGGCCACUAGAUGGCAGCAGAUGGAAACAGCUUCAUUUGGAGGACGAAGCUUUGCCUGGGAGAUUGUUGCCAAGUCUGGAGCAGGUAGGCUCUACUCUACUUACUCCCUUAGUCCACCCACCCUCCCAGUCCCCACACCCUGUCCCCUCACCCUGUGCCCAUUCCUUACUUAAUUCUCCCUUCCUCCCAAACUCAGGGCCUUCUUAAGACCUUGGUGGUGGCGGAGGAGCGGAGACUGGGUUAUCGAGUCCAGGCACUCCCAUCAGCCUGUUAGGCGACUCAUUAACCCCGAAGCCCAAGACUUCUCAGAAUCACUUGUGAAGUGCCCCAAAAAUCUUGAAAAUGAAGGCAAAUAAUGUAGCCAUUUUUCACACAGAGAAACUGGAGUGAGCAUUUGGGAUGCAGCCUUACCUCUCCUGGUCCCCGUCUCUUUCCCAUAGAGUUGGCAAGAGUAAUAACAAGAUUCAUCCUGCCACUUUUUUUGCCUCCUCUUUUAGAACAUGACUCCAUGUUCUAGAAACCCUUGCUUGUCUGCCGGCCUUAGACCCUUAGCCUCCCGAACCUCAUUUAUCAUCUGUAACUUGAGGGACUGGAAUUGGAUGACUAAGGCCCCUUCCAUCUCUAUGGUUCUGCAGCUUUAAUUUCCCAAACCUUUGCCAGCCCUCAAAUAGCAUCCCACAGGACACUUCUUCCAACAAUAGCCAAACUCAACAGGAGCAAGCAGAAUUUCCUACUCCAGCGGAGAAUAAAUGUGGUCGUGGUUGGAGUCUUGCUGAUGUCUUUUGUACUCAGAGUGAAGCAAAGAGGGAGGCCUCGGAUGUCAUGGACACCAGCAGCAGGGCCUGGAGGUGGCCACAUUUUUUGUGAAGGACCAAGCAGG
rnacentral:lncRNA from 1 species